ACCUGCGGAAGGAUCAUCA
rnacentral:rRNA from 4 species